CCUUUAUUUAAUUCCAAAGGUCCCUGCAGACAAACACACUAUAAAACACACUGACCUUCCAUAAAAUACCUUAAUAUAUUUUGUCCUCUCACCUACACACAUUACAAAGUGGACACGUUUGACCGCCACGAUGAAAUAUUUGGCUCUGGCUUUGCUGUUAUGUGCUUUGGCGUCACUGUCAAAUGCAGACUGCUACUCUGUAGAAGUUAAACCAAAUGCCACCCAUUGUAUGGACAAAAUGGACAAUCAAUGGCAUCCUGUAGGAUCUCAAUGGAGAAACAGUCGAUGUUAUGAAUGUGACUGCAGUCACUGUUGCUCUCUACCCCCUGACGAAUGUACGCGAAAUGCUGCGACCUAUUGUGGCUGGGGAUUGCACAUUGCCCUUUCAAUAUUCAUCUUCCUUCUGUUCAGUCCAUAUUAGCCGAAAUGAAGACACUGAAAACAAACAAAAACUGUCUACAGAUGCAUUUCUUAUAAUUUCUUAUGUGAAUUAUACAGGACAAAUUCAUUUUACCAUUACGGCGGAAAGACACGAUUUAUCAAAAGGGUUAUUAAAACAGAAUAAACAGAAGAUACCGUUUGCAAUUCAUUUAAGGCGCUUUAGUUUUGGCAUGAGUAGUGAUGUAUUAAAGAUGAACUUCAGUUACAAAUGUUACAAAUGUUGUACAGUCGUAGUUAAUAAAAAUAAUGCAACUGUAAAA